GACGAACGCUGGCGGCGUGCCUAACACAUGCAAGUCGAACGGACAGGCCCUGCUUUUGUGGGGUGCUCGAGUGGCGAACGGGUGAGUAACACGUGAGUAACCUGCCCUUGACUUUGGGAUAACUUCAGGAAACUGGGGCUCAUACCGGAUAGGAUCUUCUGCUGCAUGGUGGGGGUUGGAAAGUUUCGGCGGUUGGGGAUGGACUCGCGGGUUAUCAGCUGCUUGGUGGGGUAGUGGCUUACCAAGGCUUUGACGGGUAGCCGGCCUGAGAGGGUGACCGGCCACAUUGGGACUGAGAGACGGCCCAGACGCCUACGGGAGGCAGCAGUGGGGAAUAUUGCACAAUGGGCGGAAGCCUGAUGCAGCAACGCCGCGUGCGGGAUGACGGCCUUCGGGUUGUAAACCGCUUUCGCCGGUGACGAAGCGUGAGUGACGGUAAUGGGUAAAGAAGCACCGGCUAACUACGUG
rnacentral:rRNA from 1 species